UACGUAGGGUGCGAGCGUUAAUCGGAAUUACUGGGCGUAAAGCGUGCGCAGGCGGUUUUGUAAGCCAGAUGUGAAAUCCCCGGGCUUAACCUGGGAAUGGCAUUUGGGACUGCAAGGCUUGAGUGCGGCAGAGGAGACUGGAAUUCCUGGUGUAGCAGUGAAAUGCGUGGAGAUGUGGAGGAACACCGAUGGCGAAGGCAGCCUCCUGGGCCAGCGCUGACGCUCAUGCACGAAAGCGUGGGGAGCAAACAGG
rnacentral:rRNA from 1 species